rnacentral:rRNA from 1 species
AGCAGUCGACGGUAACGGACCGCUGUGAUCCCUUCGGGGGGAACUUGGGGCCGACGAGUGGCGGACGGGGGAGUAAUACUUAGGAAUCUGCCCAGUAGUGGGGGACAACACGGGGAAACUCGUGCUAAUACCGCAUACGCCUUACGAGGGAAAGUGGAGGAUCUUCGGACUUCACGCUAUUAGAUGAGCCUAAGUCGGAUUAGCUUUUUGGUGAGGUAAAGGCUCACCAAGGCGACAAUCCGUAGCUGGUCUGAGAGGACGAUCAGCCACACUGGGACUGAGACACGGCCCAGACUCCUACGGGAGGCAGCAGUGGGGAAUAUUGGACAAUGGGGGCAACCCUGAUCCAGCAAUACCGCGUGUGUGAAGAAGGCCUGCGGGUUUUAAAGCACUUUCAGUAGAGAAGAAAAACCCAGAGGUUAAUACCCUCAGGGCUUGACGUAACCUACAGAAGAAGCACCGGCUAACUCCGUGCCAGCAGCCGCGGUAAUACGGAGGGGGCAAGCGUUAAUCGGAAUUACUGGGCGUAAAGCGCGCGUAGGCGGUCUGGUCAGUCGGAUGUGAAAGCCCCGGGCUUAACCUGGGAAUUGCAUUCGAUACUGCCAGGCUAGAAUGUUGGAGAGGGAAGUGGAAUUUCCGGGGUAGCGGGGAAAUGCGUAGAGAUCGGAAGGAACACCAGUGGCGAAGGCGGCUUCCUGGCCAAACAUUGACGCUGAGGGGCGAAAGCGUGGGUAGCGAACAGGAUUAGAUACCCUGGUAGUCCACGCCGUAAACGAUGAGGACUAGAUGUCGGGAGGGU